GGUUGAUCCUGCCAGUAGUCAUACGCUUGUCUCAAAGAUUAAGCCAUGCAUGUCUAAGUAUAAACAAAUUUGUACUGUGAAACUGCGAAUGGCUCAUUAUAUCAGUUAUAGUCUACUCGAUAGUACCUUACUACUUGGAUAACCGUAGUAAUUCUAGAGCUAAUACAUGCAUAAAUACUCAACUGCUUGUCGGGCGAGUAGCAUUUAUUAGAUUGAAACCAAUGCAGCCCUCGGGUUGGUAUUGUGUUGAAUCAUAAUAACUGUGCGGAUCGCGCUUUUGCGCGAUAAAUCG
rnacentral:rRNA from 1 species